CCUACGGGAGGCUGCAGUGGGGAAUAUUGGACAAUGGGCGAAAGCCUGAUCCAGCCAUGCCGCGUGUGUGAAGAAGGCCUUCGGGUUGUAAAGCACUUUCAGUGGGGAAGAAAGCCUUGGGGCUAAUACCCUCGAGGAAGGACAUCACCCACAGAAGAAGCACCGGCUAACUCCGUGCCAGCAGCCGCGGUAAUACGGAGGGUGCGAGCGUUAAUCGGAAUUACUGGGCGUAAAGCGCGCGUAGGCGGUCUGAUAAGCCGGUUGUGAAAGCCCCGGGCUCAACCUGGGAACGGCAUCCGGAACUGUCAGGCUAGAGUGCAGGAGAGGAAGGUUGAAUUCCCGGUGUAGCGGUGAAAUGCGUAGAGAUCGGGAGGAAUACCAGUGGCGAAGGCGGCCUUCUGGACUGACACUGACGCUGAGGUGCGAAAGCGUGGGUAGCAAACAGGAUUAGAUACCCGGGUAGUC
rnacentral:rRNA from 1 species